AUUAUUUAAAUAAAUACGGUUAUAAUUUAUUUUUUGCCUUCAACGGUCGAUUUUCCAUUCCCGUCAUUAAAACUUCAUCCGAUUUACUCAUCGUAUGUAACAACGGUAUGUAUACGGAAAUUGUAAAUAUACAAUUUUAGUUUCGAUAAAAUAAAAAAUACCGGCAGUUUCCACGGCAUAAGCCGUCAUCGGGCAACGGAGAAAUAUUAAAAUAUCAAUGUACAAAGUUAACGGACAAAUGUAUCGGUGAAGAAAAUAGGGCGAAAACAGAGGCCCUUGGAGUCGGAUGGCCCGGGACCCUCCUGGCCCUCUCCGGACCACAUUGAAUCAUUUUGUUUCUAACAAUUUGACGUCCCCCGUUAAAAACCGUC